AGAGUUUGAUCAUGGCUCGAGGACGAACGCUGGCGGCGUGCCUAACACAUGCAAGUCGAGCGGGGAUUAUGCUGGAAGGUUUUCGGACCGGAAGGUAUGAUUCUAGCGGCGGACGGGUGAGUAACGCGUGAGCAACCUGCCUUCAACAGGGGGAUAACGCAUCGAAAGAUGUGCUAAUACCGCGUAAGACCAGAGUACCGCAUGGUACAGGGGUCAAAGGAGCAAUCCGGUUGGAGAUGGGCUCGCGUCCGAUUAGCUAGUUGGUGAGACAACAGCCCACCAAGGCGACGAUCGGUAGCCGACCUGAGAGGGUGAUCGGCCACAUUGGAACUGAGAUACGGUCCAGACUCC
rnacentral:rRNA from 1 species